rnacentral:tRNA from 1 species
UCCCUGGUAGUCUAGUAGUUAAGAUUCUGUGCUCCCAAUGCAGGGUCACAGGUUUGAUCCUUGGUCAGGGAA